UACGAAGGGGGCUAGCGUUGCUCGGAAUGACUGGGCGUAAAGGGCGCGUAGGCGGAUGGCUUUGUCGGGCGUGAAAUUCCAGGGCUUAACCUUGGGGCUGCGUUCGAGACGGGUUGUCUUGAGUGGGGAAGAGGGUCGUGGAAUUCCCAGUGUAGAGGUGAAAUUCGUAGAUAUCGCUUGGAACGCCGGCGGCGAAAGCGGUCUGCUGGGGGUGUACCGACGCUGAGACACGAAAGCCAGGGGAGCGAACGGG
rnacentral:rRNA from 1 species